GGGGCGCGUGCGCGGCGGGCAGGGGGCGUGUUGCCCCCUAGCGGCGGCUCUGGCCCCCUGCAGACGUUGGUCCGCGGGUUCGAGUCCCGGCGCUGCCC